AGAGUUUGAUCAUGGCUCAGAACGAACGCUGGCGGCAUGCCUAACACAUGCAAGUCGAACGCCCUCUUCGGAGGGAGUGGCGCACGGGUGCGUAACGCGUGGGAACCUGCCCUUAGGUUCGGAAUAACUCAGAGAAAUUUGAGCUAAUACCGGAUAAUGUCUUCGGACCAAAGAUUUAUCGCCUUUGGAUGGGCCCGCGUUGGAUUAGCUAGUUGGUGGGGUAAAGGCCUACCAAGGCGACGAUCCAUAGCUGGUCUGAGAGGAUGAUCAGCCACACUGGGACUGAGACACGGCCCAGACUCCUACGGGAGGCAGCAGUGGGGAAUAUUGGACAAUGGGCGAAAGCCUGAUCCAGCAAUGCCGCGUGAGUGAUGAAGGCCUUAGGGUUGUAAAGCUCUUUUACUGGGGAUGAUAAUGACAGUACCCAGAGAAUAAGCUCCGGCUAACUCCGUG
rnacentral:rRNA from 1 species